UUUUCUGUGAAUAGUUCACGUCCACCUGCUGUUUACCGCCCUGAGUGAGGGACUGGGUGCAGGGCAGGGAUACCAAAACGCUGUGCUUUCAGGGUGCUCACAACCUUAGGGAUAGGCAGGGGAGACUGGGCUCAGGAAGCCUCUUGAGGAAGGCCCCAGGCUCUGAGGAGACCAUGAGGAGAACAGGAGGAACCAGGAGUGUCACCAGAGACAAGCCAGAGGCACCUGGAGGAAGCUCUAGGGCGCAGGUGGAACUGGAGCCCGAGGAGUGGAAUGGGGGGAACCCUAUCCCCCCACAGGCCCCACUGUGGCAGGGAUGGCAGGGGUGGGUGUCUAGAGAAGCCUGGGAUGUAGGCUGUGCUGCGUGGGUCAACGGAGAGGGGCGCAGACGUGUAUACAGAGGGAAGCAUGUGCUCUAGUACUCUUAUUCAGCCUUAGUUAUCAUCAUUAAAUCAUCGUCAUCAUUAUUAAUCAGUAUUAAUUACUAAUCAUUAUUAAUCACCAUUAAAACCUGUAAGUUAACUCAGUAAGGAGGCCAUCAAACUGACAAGGCUCUGAUGGCUUCAUAGCACAGGAAAACAAACCAAAACCUCAGCCUGUGACUGCCUCCCAUUAGGAAAUUGCACCUAAGUACCUAAGUACCAUCACAACGGGCCAGCCAUGCUGAGCUCCACCAAUGAACAGCCUCCUUUCUCCCUCCGUCUCCUCCUCUCCCAGGCGCAUCUCUCCAGGCUCCCGCCUCCCUGGACCUCCAACGCCUCCUUCUUCACUGUGCGGCCUUGUUUCCAUCAAUUGUUGCUCAGGUAAACUUAAACUGUUCACUGCUCCUCAGCUGUCUUUUACCAAACCAAAGGCCACAAGUUCCAGAAACAAUUAAAUGGAACCUUUAUAAUCUUGGGGAUUCUCUGGCAGAGCUGAGAGAACCCAGGGAACAGAGCAGCAGAUCUUCUGAUGAUGGCCCAAGACAGCCCGUGCUCAGGACGUUUUCUAGCCCAGCUUGACCUUGGUGGCACCGUCUCUCCUGGUACUGCUGAUCACUCUCUGUGCUGAAGCUCCUUGAGCGGGCGGUCCACCCUGACCGCCCCUUCCAGGUCUCCGCUGAUACUGUGCUCAAAUGUGGUAAAAUCUGUUUAGCUACUUUUC